rnacentral:rRNA from 1 species
AUUGAACGCUGGCGGCAGGCCUAACACAUGCAAGUCGAACGAGUGGCGGACGGGUGAGUAAUGUCUGGGAAACUGCCUGAUGGAGGGGGAUAACUACUGGAAACGGUAGCUAAUACCGCAUACCAUCAGAUGUGCCCAGAUGGGAUUAGCUAGUUGGUGGGGUAACGGCUCACCAAGGCGACGAUCCCUAGCUGGUCUGAGAGGAUGACCAUCCACACUGUAACUGAGACACGGGCCAGACUCCGACGCGAGGCAGCAGUGGGGAAGAGUGCACAAUGGGCGCAAGCCUGAUGCAGCCAUGCGGCGUGUAUGAAGAAGGCCUUCGGGUUGUAAAGUACUUUCAGCGGGGAGGCGUUACCCGCAGAAGAAGCACCGGCUAACUCCGUGCCAGCAGCCGCGGUAAUAC